rnacentral:rRNA from 1 species
AGAGUUUGAUUCUGGCUCAGGAUGAACGCUGGCGGCGUGCUUAACACAUGCAAGUCGAACGGGAAUGCCGCGCUGAUGCGAUUUCGGUCAAAUCAUGUGGCAUUCGAGUGGCGGACGGGUGAGUAACGCGUGGGUAACCUGCCUUACACAGGGGGAUAACACCUGGAAACAGGUGCUAAUACCGCAUGAUCCGGGAGGGCCGCAUGGCCCUGCCGGGAAAGCUCCGGCGGCACGGGAUGGGCCCGCGUCUGAUUAGUUUGUUGGCGGGGUAACGGCCCACCAAGACUGCGAUCAGCAGCCGGCCUGAGAGGGCGGCCGGCCACAUUGGGACUGAGACACGGCCCAGACUCCUGCGGGAGGCAGCAGUGGGGAAUAUUGCACAAUGGGGGAAACCCUGAUGCAGCGACGCCGCGUGGGCGACGAAGCGCUCCGGCGCGUAAAGCCCUGUCAGCAGGGAAGAACAAAGACAGUACCUGACCAAGAAGCCCCGGCUAACUACGUGCCAGCAGCCGCGGUAAUACGUAGGGGGCAAGCGUUAUCCGGAUUCACUGGGCGUAAAGGGAGCGCAGGCGGCACGGCAAGUCUGGUGUGAAAGCCCGGGGCCCAACCCCAGGACUGCAUUGGAAACUGCCGGGCUGGAGUGCCGGAGGGGUAAGCGGAAUUCCUGGUGUAGCGGUGAAAUGCGCAGAUAUCAGGAAGAACACCGGUGGCGUAGGCGGCUUACUGGACGGCAACUGACGCUGAGGCUCGAAAGCGUGGGGAGCAAACAGGAUUAGAUACCCUGGUAGUCCACGCAGUAAACGAUGAUAACUCGUUGUCGGCGAUACAGUGUCGGUGACUAAGCGAAAGCGAUAAGUUAUCCACCUGGGGAGUACGUUCGCAAGAAUGAAACUCAAAGGAAUUGACGGGGGCCCGCACAAGCGGAGGAACAUGUGGUUUAAUUCGAUGAUACGCGAGGAACCUUACCCGGGCUUGAAAGUUAGUGACGGAUCUUGAAAGAGGUCUUCCCUUCGGGGCACGAAACUAGGUGCUGCAUGGUUGUCGUCAGCUCGUGCCGUGAGGUGUCGGGUUAAGUCCCAUAACGAGCGCAACCCCUACCGUUAGUUGCCAGCAGGUCAAGCUGGGCACUCUGACGGGACUGCCGGUGUAAGCCGAGAGGAAGGUGGGGAUGACGUCAAAUCAGCACGGCCCUUACGUCCGGGGCUACACACGUGUUACAAUGGCAGGUACAGAGGGCAGCUACCCAGCGAUGGGAUGCGAAUCUCGAAAGCCUGUCUCAGUUCGGAUUGUAGUCUGCAACCCGACUACAUGAAGCCGGAAUCGCUAGUAAUCGCGGAUCAGAACGCCGCGGUGAAUACGUUCCCGGGUCUUGCACACACCGCCCGUCA